GGUCUGUGAUGUGGGCAUUUUCACAUUAUCUCCUUGAAUCACUUUCAUGCUUCGAAAAGCGAUUCUCCACCCAUCUGUCUAAAUUAGGCAAUUUGGUUCCUAAGAUG